rnacentral:rRNA from 1 species
AUACGGAGGACGCGAGCGUUAUCCGGAUUCAUUGGGUUUAAAGGGUGCGCAGGCGGCCGUGCAAGUCAGCGGUGAAAGCCCGGGGCUCAACCCCGGAAGUGCCGUUGAUACUGCAUGGCUGGAAUGCGGUCGAGGCGGGCGGAAAGGGGCGGGUAGCGGGGGAAUGCGUAGAUAUGCCACAGAACGCCGAUAGCGGAGGCAGCUCGCCAGGCCUGCAUUGACGCUCGGGCACGAAAGCGUGGGGAGCGAACAGGAUUAGAUACCCUGGUAGUCCACGCCGUAAACGAUGGGCGCUCGUCGUCGGCGGCAGACAGUCGGCGGCCAAGCGAAAGCGAUAAGCGCCCCACCUGGGGAGUACGGUCGCAAGGCUGAAACUCAAAUGAAUUGGCGGGG